rnacentral:rRNA from 1 species
AGAGUUUGAUCCUGGCUCAGGAUGAACGCUAGCUACAGGCUUAACACAUGCAAGUCGAGGGGCAGCAUACGGAUUGCUUGCAGUCCGUGAUGGCGACCGGCGCACGGGUGAGUAACGCGUAUCCAACCUGCCCAUAACAUCGGGAUAACCGGUAGAAAUGCCGACUAAUACCGAAUGCGCUCCACGGAGGACAUCCGAUGCGGAGCAAAGAUUCAUCGGUUAUGGAUGGGGAUGCGUCCGAUUAGCUCGUUGGCGGGGUAACGGCCCACCAAGGCUACGAUCGGUAGGGGUUCUGAGAGGAAGGUCCCCCACAUUGGAACUGAGACGCGGUCCAAACUCCUACGGGAGGCAGCAGUGAGGAAUAUUGGUCAAUGGGCGCAGGCCUGAACCAGCCAAGUAGCGUGCAGGACGACGGCCCUAUGGGUUGUAAACUGCUUUUAUGCGGGGAUAAAGUCACUUACGUGUAAGUGUUUGCAGGUACCGCAUGAAUAAGGACCGGCUAAUUCCGUGCCAGCAGCCGCGGUAAUACGGAAGGUCCGGGCGUUAUCCAGAUUUAUUGGGUUUAAAGGGAGCGUAGGCCGCAUGUUAAGCGUGUUGUGAAAUGUAGAUGCCCAACAUCUGAAUUGCAGCGCGAACUGGCAUGCUUGAGUACGCACAACGUUGGCGGAAUUCGUCGUGUAGCGGUGAAAUGCUUAGAUAUGACGAAGAACUCCGAUUGCGAAGGCAGCUGACGGGAGCGCAACUGACGCUGAAGCUCGAAAGUGCGGGUAUCGAACAGGAUUAGAUACCCUGGUAGUCCGCACGGUAAACGAUGGAUGCCCGCUGUUUGCCCGAAUGGGUAAGCGGCCAAGCGAAAGCAUUAAGCAUCCCACCUGGGGAGUACGCCGGCAACGGUGAAACUCAAAGGAAUUGACGGGGGCCCGCACAAGCGGAGGAACAUGUGGUUUAAUUCGAUGAUACGCGAGGAACCUUACCUGGGCUUGAACUGCAGAUGAAGGAUCCAGAGAUGGUGACGCCCUUCGGGGCAUCUGCGGAGGUGCUGCAUGGUUGUCGUCAGCUCGUGCCGUGAGGUGUCGGCUUAAGUGCCAUAACGAGCGCAACCCCUCUCCUCAGUUGCCAUCAGGUCAUGCUGGGCACUCUGUGGACACUGCCACCGUAAGGUGCGAGGAAGGUGGGGAUGACGUCAAAUCAGCACGGCCCUUACGUCCGGGGCUACACACGUGUUACAAUGGGGGGUACAGAGUGUCGGUGCUAUGCAAAUAGUGUCCAAUCAAUAAAGCCUCCCUCAGUUCGGACUGGGGUCUGCAACCCGACCCCACGAAGCUGGAUUCGCUAGUAAUCGCGCAUCAGCCAUGGCGCGGUGAAUACGUUCCCGGGCCUUGUACACACCGCCCGUCAAGCCAUGAAAGCCGGGGGUGCCUGAAGUCCGUGACCGCAAGGAUCGACCUAGGGCAAAACUGGUGAUUGGGGCUAAGUCGUAACAAGGUAGCCGUACCGGAAGGUGCGGCUGGAACACCUCCUU